GACGAACGCUGGCGGUGUGCUUCACACAUGCAAGUCGAACGAGGUAGCAAUACCUAGUGGCGGACGGGUGAGUAACGCGUGGGAAUCUGCCUUUAGAUGGGGGAUAACGGGCCGAAAGGUCCGCUAAUACCGCAUAUGCCGCAAGGUGAAAGGAGUAAUCCGUCUAAAGAUGAGCCCGCGUCCGAUUAGCUAGUUGGUAGAGUAAGAGCCUACCAAGGCGACGAUCGGUAGCUGGUCUGAGAGGAUGAUCAGCCACAAUGGGACUGGGACACGGCCCAUACUCCUACGGGAGGCAGCAGUGGGUAAUUUUACGCAAUGGGGGAAACCCUGACGUAGCUACACCGCGUGAGCGAAGAAGCCCUUUGGGGUGUAAAGCUCUGUCAGCUGGAACGAAAACAAUGACGGUACCAGCAGAGGAAGCAUCGGCUAACUACGUGCCAGCCGCCGCCGUAA
rnacentral:rRNA from 1 species